rnacentral:rRNA from 1 species
AUUGAACGCUGGCGGCAUGCUUUACACAUGCAAGUCGAACGGUAACAGGCCGCAAGGUGCUGACGAGUGGCGAACGGGUGAGUAAUGUAUCGGAACGUGCCCAGUCGUGGGGGAUAACGCAGCGAAAGCUGUGCUAAUACCGCAUACGAUCUAUGGAUGAAAGCGGGGGACCGUAAGGCCUCGCGCGAUUGGAGCGGCCGAUAUCAGAUUAGGUAGUUGGUGGGGUAAAGGCUCACCAAGCCGACGAUCUGUAGCUGGUCUGAGAGGACGACCAGCCACACUGGGACUGAGACACGGCCCAGACUCCUACGGGAGGCAGCAGUGGGGAAUUUUGGACAAUGGGCGCAAGCCUGAUCCAGCAAUGCCGCGUGCAGGACGAAGGCCUUCGGGUUGUAAACUGCUUUUGUACGGAGCGAAACGGCUCUCUCUAAUAAAGGGAGCUAAUGACGGUACCGUAAGAAUAAGCACCGGCUAACUACGUGCCAGCAGCCGCGGUAA